GCUUUCGUGGUGUAGUGGUCAGCACGCUCGGCGCGUAUUCGAGAGGUCAGUGGUUCGAAUCCCGGCGAGGGCA
rnacentral:tRNA from 1 species